UACGAAGGGGGCUAGCGUUGCUCGGAAUCACUGGGCGUAAAGGGCGCGUAGGCGGCCGGCCAAGUCGGGGGUGAAAGCCUGUGGCUCAACCACAGAAUGGCCCUCGAUACUGGACGGCUCGAGACCGGAAGAGGUUGGUGGAAUUGCGAGUGUAGAGGUGAAAUUCGUAGAUAUUCGCAAGAACACCGGUGGCGAAGGCGGCCAACUGGUCCGGAUCUGACGCUGAGGAACGAAAGCUAGGGGAGCAAACAGG
rnacentral:rRNA from 1 species